ensembl:lncRNA
UUAUUUUCAAAACUUUCACACCUUUUAAAUUUCCACACAGAUGACUUUCAAUUUUCUCAUGUUAAAUAGAGGUUUUGUUUUUGUGUUUUAUUCUUUUUGUUUAUAUAUAUAUUUCAGUGUGGAUAGACUCUAUGCAGCCAUUCCAUCUCUACCUUCAGACAUGGAACCGAGUUUGUGGCCUUUGAUUAGUGACCUCAUUAACAUUGCCCCAGAAAGUGAGUCUCCUGGCUUUUAUUAAUGCAAAACAAGAAACUUUUAACACUCAAAUGGAUGACACAAUUUUUUGUUUUGUCUGAAUCUAUUCUUUCUGUUUUAUUUUACACAGAUUGUGUGACAGUGAACUUCGUGUGUCCACAAACCCAUGUUAAUGGCACAAACAUUUGCAAAGACAUUGACAGCUCUGACCUGGAAUUCUACAUGAGCAUGUCCACCCAUGUUCCUUGUAACUUUACUCUGGACAAAUAUGCAUGUGCACAGUUGGAGAAUUUUGCAGCUGAUCAGCUGGCUUCCCUCCUGAGAUGUGAUCUGCCCGGAAACAGCAGCCGCUCCAGAGUGUUGUGGAAGUUGCUGCUCACUAAACUCUCCAACGUCUUGGAUCCAGCUCUGGACCUGCUGGCUGACAUGGUCAGUGCUUCAGCAAAUAUUGUGAAGCUGCAACUCAUUCACUCCUAGUUUAAACACAGUCACCAUGUUUAUAAUGUGUCUCCAUCAGUCUGUGGACGUGAUCAGUCCGUCAGCGUCUGAGAUUCUGGACGUCAUUGGGGAGAUGAGGGUCUUCCUGCUGACUGACAAACAGCUGAUGGACAGCAGCGUGAUCAAGUUGUGGUUCUCCGAGCGUUUAAGCGGCUUCCUGCCGUCUGUCUCAGAAAUGUUCCUGAUGUGUCUGAGCAGCAGGAACCUCAGCUGUCAGUCCUUCCAUCAGAUGUAAGCUUCUGUCCACAUGAACAACAUAUACUGUGGAAUCUACAUGUUCAAUAUAAACUCUAAAACAAGAAUUUAACAGGAAUUGUAAUGCUAUUAAAGUGAAAUGAACACAUUUUUUCAUCAAUAGUGUGCAGGUGUUUAGUCAUCAGUUCAGAGACAUGACAUUCCAACAGCAGCAUGUGAUCUUGAAGGAUUUCAUCCUCCGUUUCCUGUCAGAACCUUACACAGGUACUGCUUUCAUGAAAAGAAAGUCAGUUUUUGUUGAAAAGUGUGUUUGUAUUGAAAAGAUUUUGUGGUUUCUUCUAAAUUGUUUCAGGUCCAGGUUGUGUGUCUGCCUCCAACAGCAGUGCAGAGUGGCUCAGCAACAACUUGGGUUCUUUCUCAGAGCUUCUGUCUGUCAAGGAGAUGUUUGAUCUGAACCCACAAUUUGAUCCUGUAAGGUUUUAAAAUCUUCAGAAUUUUUAAAAUAGAAAAUGUGUUGUAAUUGACUAAAAUAUAUCUAUUUCAGAUUGAGGCUCUCAGUGUUCUGAGUCCAAAGCAGAAUGCAGAGCUGCUGGUGCUGAAACAUCCCACUCUGCCAAACACAGACGUCAUUAUCAACAAACUCUUUGAUUAUUUCACUGAAUCUCCUAAAGAGAGGAAGUUUACAGAGUUCCUGUCAUUCCUUGUUGUGUUCCUGGAAAUGGUAAAUUAAAAAAAAAUCUUAACUCUUUAAAAGAACAAAAAUUCUAAUGAAAAAAAAUAUAAAUUUUUUUACCUUUGCUUUAAAGGGAAAUGUAACCUGUUCAUCGUACAAGACAUUGUGAGUUUGGACAUUUUUUUAAAUUUAAAGUAAUUUCAGAGAUUUUGUAACUUAUCCCAGUUGUUCUGGUUUUCUAGAUUCACCAGACUUGACAACACCUCAACCACAUCUUUUCUGGACAUUUCGUUAUCCAUAAUGGAUGCUAAAGUGGCUUUAUUCAACUACAUUCCAACUGGUGAGACAGUAAUAACAGGAUUCAUUCAUGAGCUGUGUUAUUGUACACUAUUAUCAUGUAAAUUUCAAUUUUAAAGGCAAAUUAUUUAAUAAGUCUUUAG